UAACUUGAAAUUUUAUCCAUAUCUAUUACUAAUAUUUUAAAAUUAUUUUUGUAUGAUUUGCUUGAUAUAUAUCCGGUUAUAAUUGUGUGGUUGCAAUUAUCUUUUCAAUCAAUUUGAAUUAAAACUUCCACAGGUAACCGCGUUACCACUUUAUGUUUAGUUGAAAAGUGUCUAAUAGAUGUUGACUAAAUGCCCCAAAGAAAUGUCGCCUUAAUUCUGGCUUUGUAGAAAACAAUGAAGGAUGCUGAUAGCUGAUUAUAUGGCUUAAAACUCACGGGAUGACCAUUAUCGAGCCCUCGUGCAAGAGUAAUUGUUGACGAUGUGACAUACAUUGAAACAAAUAGUGCAGCAGUUAAAAGAGAGUGGGUAGGAGUGGUGCUUUUUGCUACAGAAAUUGAUCUCGAGGCAGAAAAGUAUGUUCCACUUCCUAAAGGAGAGGUUCAAAAAAGAAGGAGAUAGUCCAGUUACUCUCAUUCGUAUGAAAACAAUUAAGCCAUUUUGUUCUAUCCACUUGGUUAUGAAAUGAACUUCAGGGAGCCAGAACCAUUAUUACCUUCACUUAGAAGCUUGAUCAUAUUGACAACACCAGCAGGAAUUAAUGACAAUAAAAUAGUAAUUGCACCUCCUGCUUCUUCAUUGAUGACAAUAGAAUAGCAACUUGACCUUCUGCUUCUUCAUUCAAUUAAUCUAUUAAGGUAUCAUCUAUUUCUUGGUUGCUUAUACAAUUUUCGGUCAUAUGUAUAUAUCUGUUUUGGGUAGAUUUAUGAAAAUAAAGACGAAAUUGAAGCAAUUAAAGGAUUUAAGAAACUUAUUUCUGAUUAUUGUUAGUGAUGGUGUGAGAAUUAAAACUCAAAACUUGGAACAAAAGAUGUCAUGAAUGUAAAGGGAAUAUAAGUUUCCUCUUCUUUUAUGGGACGUUUUUGAUGUGAAAAAAGAUUUCCUUUAUUGUGAAUGUGAUUGAUUAUUGUUUAAACCAAAAAAAAAAAAAUCAAUUGAUCCCUAGCUACGACUUCUCAUAAUAUUUGAUGGAAGUUGCAUGUCUUCGCCCGCUCCCCCAUACAUGGUGGAAUCCAUUGUAUUCGUUGGUAAAGCACGUGAUUACGGCCUCAACAUGUCGUCAUUUGUUGUUGGUUUUGUUCGAGUCAUUCUCAAGGUAAAGAAAAAGGAGGGAGGGUACUUUUCCUUUACAUUUAAUGUGAUUUUGAAAUUACUAGCAUGGAACUAUGACAAUUAUAGCGUAAAAUGGUAAUAUGCAAACAAGCAGCUCGAGGCCGAACCUAUGUAUAUGUAUAGAACAAUUUAGAAAGUUGAAAAUCCUAGACCAUGUUUCAUGUCUAUCAUGGAAAACUGAGUAGCAAACCUACUAUAUCAUUUUAGUAACUAAUGUGUUGGUAGAAGAGUUCUAAUUUGUUUAGUAAUGCGUUAUUACUCAUUAAGAAAAUCUAAAGCUUUGAUCUACUCUGUAAAUAAGAAGAAGAAAAGAGGAUGAUGAUUCAUAUACAUUACGAGUUGUAUUACAUUCAAUUGAAAGAUUAACAAGCUUAGAACUUCGUGAUCUGUUGAAAUAUUUAGGGACCAUGCAUGAGCCAUUUUAAAGCUUAUGAUGUUUUUAAAGGAAGCUAUUGCAAAGUAGAGGUGGGUAAACUUUAGGAUAAAGAACUAUGGAUGUUGUCAACUGUUUAUGUUCAUACGGAGGGUCAAGAACUGGACAAAUUUUAAAAAUAUUUGAAUGGCGGCAAUAAAAGGAAAAAUCAAAGCCCUUUGAAUUUAGACCGAAAGGGAAAAACGUAGGACAGCUAAAUUGCUCCAAGAGGGAUUCCACCAUUGGAGUUACUUUUUACUCAGAGUUUCAACUUUCGGGGAAGAAGGCAUUCUCAAUAACAAGAUUUUUGGGUUCUUAGGCAUCAAGAGGUACGUUGAAUCUCAAAACUUUUGGUUUCUUUAUAUAAUUUGGUAUGGAUAAACUAGACUAUGGAUGGAUACAGUACAUUCGGUUAGAUUCGAAUUUAUGAAAAUCUAGGAUUCAUUAAAAUUCUUCAUAUACAAAUGAUGAAUAGGAAAUCUAUCUAUUAUUAAAAGGAGAGGAAAAAGAAUUAACCGUGCAUAUAGUGGCAGAAGCCCACUAAAAAUCUGGUAAUCUGUAUUAUAUAUUGAUUGGGAAAUUUUCUGCAAUAUUAUCUUAAGAUAAAAUUAUAGUAUACAAAAUAACUGAAGAUGGAGACAUGUAAAAUUAAUAUGAAAUAACCUUUGGUGUUGUUUCUACCAUAACUGUAUUCUUGCUAACUAAUGAACUUUAUGUGGCAUUGAAAAAGGAUGUUAUGGUGAAUCAACGGUGAACUUAAGAGGUUUUUAUCAGACAAAUCUAACAUGAUUUUGCUCAUGACUUAUUGCCUUCAUUGUAAUCGCAUGUUUGUCUCAUCCAUUUAUGAAGUUUUGAUAACGUGUUUGAUAUUAUGCAGAGAGAUAGCUGCUAUCCUCUACUCCUCUAUCACUUUUUCUAUUAAGAGGCAUAUUAGAACAGGGAGGGAGGUCGGACAUGCGACUUCCCAUUUAUGUAUCUUCCUUCACGAUCUUAUGCUAUUGGAUCUAUGUGACUUAUAUCCAUUCCAUAUUUGGUGCGGCAUUGUUUCAAGUAUAAAAAUUCAUACAUUUAUCUUAGUACCAUUUGAAUGAUAGAUUUGACGUGUGCUUAGCGGUACAUAUUUUAAGUGAAUUGAUUUGUUUCAAGUGAGCUAAGAUUUUGAACUGUACCAAUUUGAAGGACUUUAUGUUAAUUUCUCU